rnacentral:rRNA from 1 species
GUAGGUGAACUGUCGGAAGGAUCAUUGUUGAU